ACUAGUGAGAAUUCCGGUAUGAGUAGCGAAAGAUAGGUGAGAAUCCUAUCCACCGAAUGAGUAAGGUUUCCCCCGGAAGGCUCGUCCGCGGGGGGUUAGUCGGGACCUAAGGCGAGGCUGAAAAGCGUAGUCGAUGGACAACAGGUUGAUAUUCCUGUACCGAUAUUUAAUUGCCGAAGGAAGGACGCAGAAGGAUAACACAGGCCACUAUUGGAUGUGGUUUUAAACAGUUAGUCUUCAUAAGAGUCAAAUGCUUUUAUGUUUAAGGAUAAGCUGUGAAUGUACCAAGUUUACUUGGAAAUUGUGUGAUUUCACGCUGCUGAAAAAAGUUUCGUAGGAAGAAAAUAUUGCCCGUACCGCAAACCGACACAGGUACUCAAGUGGAGAACACUAAGGUGAGCGAGUGAACUAUUGUUAAGGAACUCUGCAAAAUGAGUCCGUAACUUCGGAAGAAGGACUGCUGGUUUUAUACCAGCCGCAGCAAAUAGGCCCAAACAACUGUUUAUCAAAAACACAGGUUUCUGCAAAAUCGUAAGAUGAAGUAUAGGGGCUGACGCCUGCCCAGUGCUGGAAGGUUAAAAGGAGGACUUAGCUUCGGCGAAGGUCUUAAUUGAAGCCCCAGUGAACGGCGGCCGUAACUAUAACGGUCCUAAGGUAGCGAAAUUCCUUGUCGGGUAAGUUCCGACCCGCAUGAAAGGCGUAAUGAUUUGGGCGCUGUCUCAACAAUAGACUCGGUGAAAUUUAAAUUCCAGUGAAGAUGCUGGGUACCCGCGACAGGACGGAAAGACCCCGUGGAGCUUUACUGUAGCUUGAUAUUGAAUGUUUGUGCUGCAUGUGCAGGAUAGGUAGGAGACUUUGAAGUCGGAACGCUAGUUUCGAUUGAGUCACCCUUGAGAUACUACCUCUGUUGUAUGAACGUUCUAACUCUGAUCAGUUAUCCUGAUCGAAGACAGUGUCUGGCAGGCAGUUUGACUGGGGCGGUCGCCUCCUAAAAGAUAACGGAGGCGCUCAAAGGUUUGCUCAGAAUGGUUGGAAAUCAUUCGUAGCGUGUAAAGGCAUAAGCAAGCUUGACUGUGAGACUGACAAGUCGAGCAGGUACGAAAGUAGGACUUAGUGAUCCGGUGGUUCCGUAUGGAAGGGCCAUCGCUCAACGGACAAAAGCUACCCCGGGGAUAACAGGCUCAUCUCCCCCAAGAGUCCACAUCGACGGGGAGGUUUGGCACCUCGAUGUCGGCUCAUCGCAUCCUGGGGCUGUAGUCGGUCCCAAGGGUUGGGCUGUUCGCCCAUUAAAGCGGUACGCGAGCUGGGUUCAGAACGUCGUGAGACAGUUCGGUCCCUAUCCGUCGUGGGCGCAGGAAAUUUGAGAGGAUCUGUCCUUAGUACGAGAGGACCGGGAUGGACAUACCUCUGGUGUACCAGUUGUUCUGCCAAGAGCACCGCUGGGUAGCUACGUAUGGAUUAGAUAAUCGCUGAAAGCAUCUAAGUGAGAAACUAACCUCGAGAUGAGAUUUCCCAUUCGUCAGAAGUAAGACCCCUGAGAGACGAUCAGGUAGAUAGGCUAGAAGUGGAAGUGUAGUGAUGCAUGGAGCGGACUAGUACUAAUAGGUCGAGGACUUAACCAAG
rnacentral:rRNA from 1 species